UUCUUUACCGAAAGCCUCUGAUUUUACUUUUAGUUGGGCUAUUGGCCCUAUUGCUUACCAGGUAGGUUUGCGUAAACUAUUUUUAUGUUGUGAUAAAUUAUUCGGUGGGGUUUAUAUCUGUUUAUCGGCUUUAUUAUUGAUAUAACUUUUUGGCUAUGAGGUCAAAUAGUCUAAAAUAUCUUUGUUUUUAUUUACUAAAAAAGGGUUAAAAUUACCCAGUUUUAAUAAUUGUGUUACAACUUUUUUUAGAGGGUUUAUUAGAUUUUGUUUAGGGGUCGUUAAGAUUUAACAGUUGGUUUCUUUUAUGAUUAAAUAAGUAAUAUUAAUAUAGGUUUUGUUUCUCAAGAAUUGCCUGUCUGUUUAUUAAAAACAUUUCCACUUGGGGAGUAUAAGUGGUAGUACCUGCUCUAUGCUUUAAGUAAAUGGCCGCAGUAUCUUGACUGUGCGAAGGUAGCAUAAUUAAUUGCCUUAUAAUUGAAGGCUUGUUUGAAUGGUUUGACAAGGUAAUUUCUAACAUGAUUUAUUUAAUUGAAAUUAAUGAUGGGGGCACAGAAUCCCCUUAAUUUAAUUAGACGGAAAGACCCCGGGAUCUUGUUAUUUUGUCUGGGGCAGAUUAAGGUUAUUCACCUUUGAAUUGGACCCUAAUGGUGCAUUGGUGUAAGUUACCCCGGGGAUAACAGUGUAAUAGUUUAUUAGAGAUCUUAUCGAAUUAACUGUUUGCCACCUCGAUGUUGACUUAGGUUUAAACUUGGGCGCAGUAGUUCAAGUUUUUGGUCUGUUCGACCUUAGAUUACCUCCAUGAGUUGAGUUAAGACCGGCGUGA
rnacentral:rRNA from 1 species